UGGGGAAUAUUGGACAAUGGGCGCAAGCCUGAUCCAGCCAUGCCGCGUGUGUGAUGAAGGCCCUAGGGUUGUAAAGCUCUUUCACCGGUGAAGAUAAUGACGGUACCCUGUGAGGAAGCCCCGGCUAACUACGUGCCAGCAGCCGCGGUAAUACGUAGGGGGCUAGCGUUAUCCGUAUUUACUGGGCGUAAAGGUUGCGUAGGUGGUCUUUCAAGUCGUUGGUUAAAGGCUACGGCUCAACCGUAGGUAGCCUCCGAAACUGGAAGACUUGAGUGCAGGAGAGGAAAGUGGAAUUCCCAGUGUAGCGGUGAAAUGCGUAGAGAGUGGGAGGAACACAAGUAGCGAAGGCGGCUUUCUGGACUGCAACUGACACUGAGGAACGAAAGAGUGGGUAGCAAACAGG
rnacentral:rRNA from 1 species